UGAACGCUGGCGGCGUGCUUAACACAUGCAAGUCGAACGAGAACGGGAUUGCUUGCAAUCCUUAGUAGAGUGGCGCACGGGUGAGUAACACGUAGAUAAUCUACCUUCAAAACUGGAAUAACUAUUCGAAAGGGUAGCUAAUACCGGAUAAAGUUUAUGCACAUAGGUGUAUUUAUGAAAGAUUGCCUCUUCUUGAAAGCAAUUGUUUGGAGAUGAGUCUGCGGACCAUUAGCUUGUUGGUGGGGUAAAGGCCUACCAAGGCUGCGAUGGUUAGCUGGUCUGAGAGGAUGAUCAGCCACACUGGAACUGACACACGGUCCAGACUCCUACGGGAGGCAGCAGUGAGGAAUUUUGCGCAAUGGGGGUAACCCUGACGCAGCAACGCCGCGUGAGUGAUGAAGGCCCUUGGGUCGUAAAGCUCUGUCGACAGGGAAGAAAUUAUAAUCAUCCAAUAGGUGUUUAUAUUGACGGUACCUGUAGAGGAAGCACCGGCUAACUCC
rnacentral:rRNA from 1 species